CAUGCAGGGCCGGUACACGGCCAAUCAAAAUAAAACUUAAAGUGAAAGGAAAGGGGCACACAGGCCAGGGGCUUCUUGGCGCGCAGGCCGCCCUUCACAAACUAUGGGGAGGCGAAAUGCCCCACUACUCGAGUUGGAAUCCGAAUAACCCCCAUGAUAGUCCGAGCCUCCCUCCUCUCCUCUUGGCCGAGUUAGUAAAUAACCUUUAAAGAUGCUUGGUCGAGCUCUUGUCUUUGGGUCUUCUUGUCUCACUUCUUUGCCCUUCAUGGAAGAACUCAAUAUUGAUGACACCUCGAGGGCUAGGAUAUCAUCAAAUAGAUGCCCAGUCGAGUCAGUAAACUACCUGAUUCAUUCUAAUGCACGAUCCACCCAACCCAGCUAAGCUAAUAAAUGCUGCAUAAGGGAGUGGGAGGCCGGCCCCCGCCCAUCUGGAGGUGCACGAACAUAUGCAAAGGGGUAAAGAGAGAAGUCCAUGGAGAACUACCAAAUCUAAUGACUUUGAUUUGUUCGUACCAUUCUGUCAUCGAUGACUGCUGGGUCGGUUGGUGAGUCACCCCCAAAAAAGCAUCGAGAAAGGUCAAGCAUAUAUGUUUUAUGAAAUGAUCAGCGGUUUCAUUUAUGCU
rnacentral:lncRNA from 1 species